rnacentral:lncRNA from 1 species
UUUACUUUUCUAACAUUAGACGUUAAAAGCACAUUAAAAACAAACAAACAAACAACAACAACAAAAACCUCUGAUCAAACACAGGGUGAUGAUAAAAAACAUUAAUCCUGAUCAUAGAUGCCAGAUCUCUUGGUAUAUGACAUACUCAUUACCCAUCCUGAGUAAUACAUCUUGUCUUUUCUCCAUCUUGUACUCCAAAGUCAGAUCCAUGGGCUUGAAAACUCAAGGGCAGUUUUGGGACCGAUCCCCCAAACCUGCGAUUAGUGUCAGGAGAGCAGUGGGUCUUAUAGAGGGCUGGGUUCCCUCUAACUUUGCGGUUACCUAAACCCCCAAGGAGAUGUUUCCAAACUUUAGCAGUAUGAUAUCUCAAUAAAGAUAUCGCUUGAAGCCAGGAGAUGGAGGAUGCAGUGAGCCGAGAUCACGCCACUGCACUCCAGCCUGGGUGACAGAGUGAGACUUUGUCUCAAAA